CAGGCUUAACACAUGCAAGUCGAGGGGCAGCAUGGUCUUAGCUUGCUAAGGCCGAUGGCGACCGGCGCACGGGUGAGUAACACGUAUCCAACCUGCCGUCUACUCUUGGACAGCCUUCUGAAAGGAAGAUUAAUACAAGAUGGCAUCAUGAGUCCGCAUGUUCACAUGAUUAAAGGUAUUCCGGUAGACGAUGGGGAUGCGUUCCAUUAGAUAGUAGGCGGGGUAACGGCCCACCUAGUCUUCGAUGGAUAGGGGUUCUGAGAGGAAGGUCCCCCACAUUGGAACUGAGACACGGUCCAAACUCCUACGGGAGGCAGCAGUGAGGAAUAUUGGUCAAUGGGCGAGAGCCUGAACCAGCCAAGUAGCGUGAAGGAUGACUGCCCUAUGGGUUGUAAACUUCUUUUAUAAAGGAAUAAAGUCGGGUAUGGAUACCCGUUUGCAUGUACUUUAUGAAUAAGGAUCGGCUAACUCCGUGCCAGCAGCCGCGGUAAUACGGAGGAUCCGAGCGUUAUCCGGAUUUAUUGGGUUUAAAGGGAGCGUAGAUGAAUGUUUAAGUCAGUUGUGAAAGUUUGCGGCUCAACCGUAAAAUUGCAGUUGAUACUGGAUAUCUUGAGUGCAGUUGAGGCAGGCGGAAUUCGUGGUGUAGCGGUGAAAUGCUUAGAUAUCACGAAGAACUCCGAUUGCGAAGGCAGCCUGCUAAGCUGCAACUGACAUUGAGGCUCGAAAGUGUGGGUAUCAAACAGGAUUAGAUACCCUGGUAGUCCACACGGUAAACGAUGAAUACUCGCUGUUUGCGAUAUACAGCAAGCGGCCAAGCGAAAGCGUUAAGUAUUCCACCUGGGGAGUACGCCGGCAACGGUGAAACUCAAAGGAAUUGACGGGGGCCCGCACAAGCGGAGGAACAUGUGGUUUAAUUCGAUGAUACGCGAGGAACCUUACCCGGGCUUAAAUUGCAGAUGAAUUACGGUGAAAGCCGUAAGCCGCAAGGCAUCUGUGAAGGUGCUGCAUGGUUGUCGUCAGCUCGUGCCGUGAGGUGUCGGCUUAAGUGCCAUAACGAGCGCAACCCUUGUUGUCAGUUACUAACAGGUUCCGCUGAGGACUCUGACAAGACUGCCAUCGUAAGAUGUGAGGAAGGUGGGGAUGACGUCAAAUCAGCACGGCCCUUACGUCCGGGGCUACACACGUGUUACAAUGGGGGGUACAGAGGGCCGCUACCACGCGAGUGGAUGCCAAUCCCAAAAACCUCUCUCAGUUCGGACUGGAGUCUGCAACCCGACUCCACAAAGCUGGAUUCGCUAGUAAUCGCGCAUCAGCCACGGCGCGGUGAAUACGUUCCCGGGCCUUGUACACACCGCCCGUCAAGCCAUGGGAGCCGGGGGUACCUGAAGUGCGUAACCGCGAGGAGCGCCCUAGGGUAAAACUGGUGACUGG
rnacentral:rRNA from 1 species